CCUGCCGACGCGGAAGCGGAUUUCGGGAGCGAAGGUCCCCUCGGGGUUUAUCAAAAGAGGCAUUUCUUGAUACAUUUAUCUUGAUUGGGACCCAAGUUAAUCAGAUUUGUCCUUUGGAUUACAACACUGAUGAGGUUGCCAACUGCAUUAAAAGAGAGUUCACCAUCAAAAUGAUGCAUUUUCUAGAAAGAGAAAGAAGCCCUGAACUCUGGAAUGUUGUGUCAGCAUCCUCGAUAAAUAUUUGGUUUCACUGGAUUUUCCAUCUGUUUGGGUUCUGCCUUGCCUCCUGUUGCUUGGACUGUGUGUAAGUGAAAACCCAGAAGUCAGCUGGCAGCUGAGCUAGUUACGAUGGAAUCACAGGAAUCAGUGACCUUCAAGGAUGUAGCUGUAGACUUCACCCAGGAAGAGUGGGCCCUACUGGACACAUCCCAGAGGAAACUAUUCAGAGAUGUGAUGCUAGAGAACAUCAGUCAUCUGGUCUCAGUUGGCAAUCAGCUCUACAAAUCAGAUGUGAUUUCCCAUUUGGAGCAAGGAGAGCAACUUUCAAGAGAAGAGUUAGGUUUUCUGCAAGGCCAGAGUCCAGUCAUUUCAGGUAGAGAAGAUGAUCUGAGAAAACAGGAAAUGAUAUCCAUGCAACAUAUCUACAAGAAAGGCACAUCUGUAAUCAGUGCAAUGCAGAGAUCUCACAGUCAAGAGGAUCUUUUGGAAUGCAAUGAUUUCAGAGAAAAAUUUACUGAAAUCUUAACAUUGACUCAAUAUGUGAUACCUCAAGUGGGAAAGAAACCCUUUAUCAGCCAAGAUUUUGGAAAAGCCAUUAGUUACUUGUCAUUCUUUAAUAUACAUAAGCAAAUUCAUGCUAGAAGUAAAUCAUAUGAAUGUCAUCAACGUACGAAUGCCUUUAUUCAAAGUUCUGCCCUUAGGCAGCACGAUAAUACUCAAACUGGAGAGAAAACAUUUGAAUGUCAUGUAUGUAGGAAAGCCUUCAGUAAAAGUUCUAACCUUAGACGACAUGAGAUGAUUCAUACUGGAGUGAAACCACAUGGAUGUCAUCUGUGUGGGAAAUCCUUUACUCAUUGUUCUGACCUUAGAAAACAUGAAAGAAUUCACACUGGAGAGAAAUUAUAUGGAUGUCAUCUGUGUGGGAAAGCCUUCAGUAAAAGUUAUAACCUUAGGCGACAUGAGAUGAUUCACACUAGAGAGAAACCAAAUGAAUGUCAUCUGUGUGGGAAAGCCUUCACUCAUUGUUCUGACCUUAGAAAACAUGAGAGAACUCACUUUGGAGAGAAACCAUAUGGAUGCCAUCUAUGUGGGAAGACAUUCAGUAAAACUUCUUACCUUAGACAACAUGAGAGAACUCACAAUGGAGAGAAACCAUAUGAAUGUCAUCUGUGUGGGAAGGCCUUCACUCAUUGUUCUCACCUUAGAAAACAUGAGAGAACUCACACUGGAGAGAAACCAUAUGAAUGUCAUCUAUGUGGAAAAGCCUUCACUGAGUCUUCUGUCCUUAGACGACAUGAGAGAACUCACACUGGAGAGAAACCAUAUGAAUGUCAUCUGUGUUGGAAAGCCUUCACUGAUUCCUCUGUCCUUAAGCGACAUGAGAGAACUCACACUGGAGAAAAACCAUAUGAAUGUCACUUAUGUGGGAAAGCCUUCAAUCACUCUUCUGUCCUUAGACGACAUGAAAGAACUCACACUGGUCACAUCUGAGUGUGAAGUCCUUCCUAUGAUUAUUCCCCAAAUGGAGCCAGUUCACAAGUCACGAACAUUACAUUAAACUAUCAGAAAAUAUACAAUUAAGAACAAACUACCAUCACUGGAAAUCAAGAAGGAAAGCCAGCUAUGUAAACACCUCUAUGCAGUGUAUUCAUCCUGAACAGAUGGGCGUUGUUGGAACAAAAUUCAGUCGACAGGGGCUACCCAGAGGCAGUGACCGCGAAGGGGAGACCUGUGGAGGUACAGGGCCGAGCUCCAUGAAGACAAGGAGGAUGAGUGAUGAGGCAGGAGUACCGCUAUCGCCACUGCUGGAAAUGAAGAUGCAAAAAGGUUGUCUUAGGCUGCUCUGAGCCCCUGACUCUAAGCUAAAUCCCCAAGGAUGUCCCGGAAAAGGUGGUGCUAGAAUGGAAAGCAGGAAGACAGCAACACACCAGCAGGAACAAACGUAAAAUUUUCUCAACACACCAGCAGGAACAAACGUAAAAUUUUCUAAGUCCUCCAGGAAGCCCUGCAAGGUUCGUGUAGGCAUGUGUUACCCUCUGCUGGCCUGGGCACAUUGAAAAUGGGAUCUACCAACAGCCCCUCUGAGAUAUGAAAACCAAGAUGUCAGACUUCAAAGGAGCUGAUCAGAACAGAAGGUAGAAGGGCACCUAGAUGGCAAGGGCUGAGACUGUGCUGGACAUAUAAGGUAUGUUGUAGGUGAGGCUUCUCCUUGCUGGGCACGGAUCUGGUUCCUGUCUUUGUAGGGGUUGGCGUAACUCCAGUGUCCAGGGAUGGGCAAACCCUGGACCAAGGCCUCUUUUCCUCUCUCUGGUAGUUCUCUUCUCCUAAGUGUCUCACAAGUUCCCAAGUUCUCCCAUGCUCUCCUCAGGUUGGUUUUCUUUUCCCUCCUGAUGUUCAUCUUUGCCUUGCAGAGCAAGUUUCCUAGCACAAACCUAGAACUAAGACUUCAAACUACCCAAUGGGCCCAACGUCAUUAUCUUGUUAUUCAGUUAGAGAUGUCUGUAUUCUUUUAUCUCCUUAGGUGUAUUAUUAUUAUACUUCCUCAUAUUAAUGUCAUAAGGAUAAUAAUCACUAUAGUUAUUUAUUAUUAUUAAGUUUCUUAUUAUGGAUUUUCGUGUGUGGUUAUAGCUACACAGCAUUGACUAGUGAUUCUCUACUUAAGAAAGAUGUCUGAUUUUCAGAAGAUGAUUGCCAAGGGUUCUCAAACAGACACACAUUCACAGUCUCCCAUGCUCCUUGCCAUACCACUUAGUAUCUUUUCAAUAAGCAAAACCCUUAUUUUUCAAUUCCAGCUCCAGAAGCAGGGACAAACCUGUGAGUAGGUGAGUUCCAGAUGAGGAUUCCAUUGAUCUUAGUGAGGCCCUGCUCACUUUACAACAGCUCUUCAGGGACCAGGAAUCUCUUUUUCCAUCUGAAGAGACCCAGGGAAGUAUUCCUUGACCUGCUAGAGAAACCACAAAGAUUUGUAAGCCAACUCAGGGAUGCAGAAACCAUUCUUAUCUUCCUGAAAAUGUUGUAGAAGGUAUCUCAACCUGACAGAGCAUUGUCAGAAUUUUCUGUGUCACUUCAGGAGGUCCAAAGUACCAUUGCUGAAAACUGAAGAGCACAGAGGAUGAGCCACACCUGCCAGAGCCUCUGUAAAUAUUCUAAGUCCCCUUGGGUGCCCAGAAAAGCCAGGGGCUGAAAUGGAAGGCAGGGAGAGUGAAACACACCAGAACAAUCAAUUGAAGAACUUUAUAAGUUCUAUGUGGCUACAAGGAACCUCUAGUGCCUGCUCGUGUCACACCUUGCCAGCUGGGAGCUCCAAUAGUAACAUCCUCCAAGAGCCCCAGAAUGAUAUAUAUGAACACAGAUGUCUGGACCUCAAGGGGCCUGGGUUGAUCAGAUGGCAGAAAGAAAGCUAGGCACUGAGAACUGAGAUAGCACUGGGAGCUUAAUGUAUGUUACUGGUGGGGUUACUGUAUCCUGGAUGUAAAUCUGGGGUCAAGUUUUGUCAGCCCAUUGACCUGAAUCCUGAUAUCUGGUGGGAAUACUUUUCUUUAAAGUAUUUAUUUAUUUAUAUAUUUGGCUGUGCUGGGUCUUAGUUGCAGCACACAGGAUCCUUGUUGUGACAUGCGGGAUCUUUUA